UAUUAAUGUUAUAUUAUAUUUUUUUUAGCUGGCUUUAGUGACGUCCUCGGAAUUAGUCAACCAAGUAAAACUGAAAGCUCCAUCGAGUAAAGUAAAACAGUUCCAGGGUGGAUACAAAUCGAAAAAGAAGCUGUGUGUAUUCUCUCCCGCAAAGGAGUACUGCGUGGAACAGCAGAAGGGACUCUAAAUAAAAAAAGGUCCGAUUGUUUAACGAUUUGUGCUAUUUUUCGUCAAUGUAAAAUGGUGUCAAUAAACAUUUUUUGGGCAAUAUUA